CAAAACAUUCUGAAAAGUGCCGAACCUGAAAUAUGUGCUUUUUAUGUGCUUCAAUGAUAAUUAUGACAGUGGUGACAGGUGCGAGUGGCCAAGAUUCAGUUUCCCAGGAUCCACUUGAAAAACUGGUUCAGGAAGGAGAGACUGCAAUCCUCAACUGUAAUUACUCAGCACAGUCCACUCCUGCAGUGCUCUUUUGGUACGUCCAGUAUCCCGGGGAGACUCCGGCAUAUUUACUGAAAAGAUUCAACAAGGAAGAAGGACAAACGUCUCCAGCUUUCUCUGACAGGUUCUCUUCUUCUCUGGACAAAAAGCAGAAAAUAUUUCCUUUAAAUAUCACUGUUGCUCAUGUAUCUGACUCUGCCGUCUACCACUGUGCGCUGAGUCUCACGCUGAUAAAGAGUUGCAUUCAGUCCGUGUUAAUUGUGCCGAUUCGAUCUCACAGAAGCCAGUUUCAACGAUACAAUUUGAAAGAGAUUCAGUAA